CCUACGGGUGGCAGCAGUGGGGAAUAUUGGGCAAUGGAGGAAACUCUGACCCAGCAACGCCGCGUGCAUGAUGAAGGUCUUCGGAUUGUAAAGUUCUUUUUGAAGGGAAGUAGAAAGUGACGGUACCUUAGGAAUAAGCCUCUGCUAACUACGUGCCAGCAGCCGCGGUAAUACGUAGGAGGCAAGCGUUAUCCGGAAUGACUGGGCGUAAAGGGUGCGUAGGUGGUUCAGCAAGUUAGUAGCGUAAUUCCGGAGCUCAACUUCGGCACUACUACUAAUACUGUUGGACGUGAGUGCAGGAGGGGCAACUGGAAGUUCUGGUGUAGCGGUGGAAUGCGUAGAUAUUAGGAAGAACACCGGUGGCGAAGGCGAGUUGCUGGACUGUAACUGACGCUGAGGCACGAAAGCGUGGGGAGCAAACAGGAUUAGAUACCCGGGUAGUC
rnacentral:rRNA from 1 species